rnacentral:rRNA from 1 species
CCUGACUGCUAUCGGAUUGAAACUAAGCCAUGCGAGUCUUUGCAGUAAUGCAAGGCAUACGGCUCAGUAACACGUAGUCAACUUACCCUAUGGACGAGGAUAAUCUCGGGAAACUGAGCAUAAUACUCGAUAGAUCAUAAUGCCUGGAAUGGUUUAUGGUUGAAAUGAUUCGUCGCCAUAGGAUGGGACUGCGGCCUAUCAGCUUGUUGGUGAGGUAAUGGCCCACCAAGGCGAUUACAGGUACGGGCUCUGAGAGGAGAAGCCCGGAGAUGGGUACUGAGACAAGGACCCAGGCCCUAUGGGGCGCAGCAGGCGAGAAAACUUUGCAAUGUGCGAAAGCACGACAAGGUUAAUCCGAGUGAUUUCUGCUAAAGAAAUCUUUUGCAAGUCAUAAAACCACUAGUGAAUAAGGGGUGGGCAAGUUCUGGUGUCAGCCGCCGCGGUAAAACCAGCACCUCAAGUGGUCAGGAGGAUUAUUGGGCCUAAAGCAUCCGUAGCCGGCUCUGUAAGUUUUCGGUUAAAUCCAUGUGCUCAACGCAUGGGCUGCCGAAAAUACUGCAUAGCUAGGGAGUGGGAGAGGUAGACGGUACUCGGUAGGAAGGGGUAAAAUCCUUUGAUCUAUCGAUGACCACCUGUGGCGAAGGCGGUCUACCAGAACACGUUCGACGGUGAGGGAUGAAAGCUGGGGGAGCAAACCGGAUUAGAUACCCGGGUAGUCCCAGCUGUAAACGAUGCAGACUCGAUGAUGCAUUGGCAUAUAGCCAGUGCAGUGUCGCAGGGAAGCCGUUAAGUCUGCCGCCUGGGAAGUACGUACGCAAGUAUGAAACUUAAAGGAAUUGGCGGGGGAGCACCACCAAGGGGUGAAGCCUGCGGUUC